rnacentral:rRNA from 1 species
CGCAUUAAGCGCCCCGCCUGGGGAGUACGGCCGCAAGGCUAAAACUCAAAGGAAUUGACGGGGGCCCGCACAAGCGGCGGAGCAUGCGGAUUAAUUCGAUGCAACGCGAAGAACCUUACCAAGGCUUGACAUAUACCGGAAACUCCCAGAGAUGGGGGCCCCGCAAGGUCGGUAUACAGGUGGUGCAUGGUUGUCGUCAGCUCGUGUCGUGAGAUGUUGGGUUAAGUCCCGCAACGAGCGCAACCCUCGUUCUAUGUUGCCAGCACGUGAUGGUGGGGACUCAUAGGAGACUGCCGGGGUCAACUCGGAGGAAGGUGGGGAUGACGUCAAAUCAUCAUGCCCCUUACGUCUUGGGCUUCACGCAUGCUACAAUGGCCGGUACAGAGGGCUGCGAAACCGUGAGGUGGAGCGAAUCCCUUAAAGCUGGUCUCAGUUCGGAUUGGGGUCUGCAACUCGACCCCAUGAAGUCGGAGUCGCUAGUAAUCGCAGAUCAGCAACGCUGCGGUGAAUACGUUCCCGGGCCUUGUACACACCGCCCGUCAAGUCACGAAAGUCGGUAACACCCGAAGCCGGUGACCCCUGGGGGAGCCGUCGAAGG